AGUGAGAAACAGCCGGCGCUGGGAAAGGAACGGUGCAGCGACCGACCAACUGCGCGCUCGGUGCCACCAAAGUGCUACUGGCUCUACCCACUCUGUCCCCCACGGGCUUAGGGAAGUCUGAUGUCUUUUUCUUUUCUUUUUUCCUCUGUCGCCUAGGCUGGUGCAGUGGUGUCAUCUUGGCUCAGUGCAGCCUCGACUUCCUGGGAUCCAGCGAUCCUCCCGCUUCAGCCUCUAGAGUAGCCGAGACCACAGGUGAGUGCUACCACCCCCGUCUAAUUUAUAUAUAUUUAUAUAUAUAAAUAUAUAUAUUAAAAUAUAUAUUUUAUAUUUAUAUAUAAUAUAAAUAAAUAUAUAAAUAUAAAUAUAUAUUUUUAUAUAUUAUAUAAAAUAUAUAAAUAUAUAUUUAUUUAUAUAUUAUAUAUAAUAUAUAUAUUAUAUAAUAUAUAUAUUAUAUAAUAUAUAUAUAAUAUAUAAUAUAUAUAUUAUAUAUAAAAUAUAUUAUAUAUAAUAUAUAUAAUAUAUUAUAUAUUAUAUAUUAUAUAUAAUAUAUAUAAUAUAUUAUAUAUAAUAUAUAAUAUAUAAUAUAUUAUAUAUAAUAUAUAAAAUAUAUAAAAUAUAGUAUAUAAUAUAUAAAAUAUAUUAUAUAUAAUAUAUAAUAUAUAAGAUAUAUAAUAUAUUAUAUAUAAUAUAUUAUAUAUAAUAUAUUUUAUAUAGUAUAUAAAAUAUAAAAUAUAUAUUAUAUAUAAAAUAUAUAUUAUAUAUAAAAUAUAUAUUAUAUAUAAAAUAUAUAUUAUAUAUGAAAUAUAUAUAUAUAAAUAUAUAUAUAUUAGUGACGGCGGUCUCGCUAUGUUGCCCAGGCUGGUCUCGAACUCCUGAGCUCAAGCGAUUCGCCCGCCUGGGCCUCCCAAAGUGCUGGGAUCACAGGCGUGGGCCACCGAGGCCCGCAGGAAGUCUGUAUUGUUCUUGCAUUCCACCCAGUGCAUUACGCAGGGGGAGAGUAGUGGGCUUAUGCGCCGAGAACCAAGCAGAUCCUGUUGGUCCCAGGAACAAAGUAUAAACCAUUCUGGUCGCCAACAGCUUCCUACGCAGGAAACAGCCAUCCACCCUCUGUGACUGGGCUUUUCCAGGUCACCCCUCGCUGCCAGGCUCUCUUCCCGGUCCAGAGCCCACAGGAUCCUACAGGAGGGGCCAACAACUGCUUGCCUUUGAAACUUGAAACUCUCGGUCUAAGGUUCCUUAGGAGCGUAAAAGGCACAGCGUUUUCUGAUCGCAGCUUCAGGUCUCCCGCCCCUGUCCCGGUACCUCUCCUGCAGGACGGAACUCUGUGGGAACGCUCGUUGAUUCUGAUGGUUAACUGUCAGAUAUCCUUGAUAUUGGACAUAGGAUUUGGAAGAGGGCAGGAGAGAAAAAUGAACUGCAAGACUCCAGCACAAGAGGUGGGAUUGCUGGCAGAUGUCUGCUCCCUCUCCAAACCUAAUGAACAUCUCAAAGUGCCAUCCACUUUCCUAUACCCUUGAUCUGUGAAAUGGAUCACUGACGCUUUCUCUGUCUUUCCGGAAAUGCAAAACAGGAACAGAAACAACACACUCAGACUUGAGAAACUGGUCUGGUUUAAAAGGGUUCCUGGCCUUACAGGUGGGUAAGAAAUGUCACUUCCUGGCAGGCUGAGGAACAUCAGGAUAUUUGGAGGACCUUGACAAGGGAAGAAUUCACCGAAAUCUAUAGUCUUGUCAGCUGAAGCUGGAUGGGUUAAUAUAGACUGCAGAGAAAUCACCACCACUCAUACAUGGACUACUCAGAAAUUUCACCAGAACACCUCAUGCAAACUGCAAACCAGGAAAUUCCGUCAGAUUGCCACUGCCUGCCCCCAUUCAAACUGAAGAUACUUCAAGCUUAACAUCUAAAACUUUCUGACUGGCUGCCCUCUGGACUAAAAAAACUGAGUUUAUAGUCAGUUCCAAUCAUUAACCUUUGCUUUUCUCGUUUCAAUGAAAAUAUCUUUUUUUUUUUUUUUUUUUGAGACAGAGUUUUGCUGUUGUUGCCCAGGCUGGAGUGCAAUGGUACAAUCUCGGCUCAUUGCAACUUCCACCUUCUGGGUUCAAGUGAUUCUCCUGCCUCAGCCUCCUGAGUAGCUGCGAUUAUAGGAAUGUGCCACCACACCUGGCUAAUUUUGUAUUUUUAGUAGAGACAGGGUUUCUCCAUGUUGGUCAGGCUGGUCUCAAACUCCCUAGGUGAUCCGCCCGCCUCGGCCUCCCAAAGUGCUGGGAUUAUAGGCAUGAGCCACCACACCUGGCUGGAAAUAUCUCUUAUUAAAUGAAUGAUUGCUUAGGCCUAACUUUGGUGGAUGCCAUUCUGCAAUCCCACCACCUGACUCGAGACAGUCCUGUUAACUGUUUAACUGGACUGACCUAUUCUCAGGACUGAGAGACUGGUAUAAUGACUAGAUAAUAUAGUGACCCAGUUCCUGAACCGAGAAACUUUAUAAGGAGGUUUCAUGGUACCUUGGCAAUUGAGAAAACCAAAGAAGCAAGAAGGUCAGUAUUACCACAAUCACUAUGCCUUUCUGUGUGGCAGCUGGCCAUAAAGGAAUGCUCUGACCUACCUCCCCUGAAAGUAGGGCAUAAAGCCCUUAUUCCAGAGGAGUACUUCUUUACCCAGAGGCCAAAAGAAUCUGAACAGACAGCCAUUUCUGGGCUCCCCAGUGCCCAUUUAUUAGCACUAGAUAAUAUACUUAUUGUCCAAUCAUACUUCUACAUGACUUGUCCAUAGAAUCCAAGCCUAAAAAUACAUACUUUUCAUUGGGUCUUUGGUCCUCAUUUCUGAGGGCUCCCUUGUCAUGGAAAACUUUGUUAAAUAAUUUUUUAAUGGUUUUCUCUUGUUAAUCUGUUUUGUUGUAAGAUUGCAAGCCAUAACCCUGGCAAUGGGUGACAAAAAACUAUUAACUUCUUGUCUCCUACAAUAGACACUGUUAGUAACUGGACUCUACCCUCCCAUGGAAUUUCCCUCACUUCUUUUCUUGCCUGAUUCAAUCAUAACAACCCUGCUGACUUUCAAUUGUGCCUACAAUUUUCACCUUAAUCCUAUCAGGUCCUGAAGAAAUUUUUCCAGAUGAAUUAGUGAUCAUCUCCCAACUAUUUGGACUUUGGUGUCUGCCAUUCUGUAUAUAACAGAACAUACUAUAAAAGCACAGUCUGUACUGGACAGAAUCAUUUACUCCCUUUCCUAGACCAGCCACGUAGCUUGGCCUGAUCUGGAGGCUAAAAUAUGGAGCCCCAUUCAUCAUCUUUGGAAGAGCUGUCUUGAAGGCAGCAUGUCCAGAGCCCCACAUGCCACCAGACUUAAGCCUAAAGUAAGCUGGGAUUGGGCAAUGGACAACUUCACUGCACUGAGCCACCACUGCCAAUGUCCCCAGUUCUGUGCACAUAUGAAGUACAGUGCAUUCAGGCUGCCAUGCUGGGCUUACAUAGGCUAGAGUCAUUUCUGAAGUUUAAAGGGGACAAAAAUGUUGUUGAGACCCACACUCUGGGGCCAAUGGCUGAAACCACAGAAGAGCUACACUCACUUGAAAAAUAAGUGUAUGCUGAGAUCGUUCGAAGAUGGCUGAAUAGGAACAGCUCCAGUCUAAAGCUCCCAGCGUGAGCAACACAGAAGACAGGUGAUUUCUGCAUUUCCAACUGAGCUUUGAAGAGAGCAGUUGUUCUCCCAGCAUGGAGUUUGAGAUCUGAGAACGGACAGACUGCCUCCUUAAGUGGGUCCCUGGCCCCCGAGUAGCCUAACUGGGAGACACCUCCCAGUAGGGGCCAACUGACACCUCAUACAGCCGGGUGCCCCUCUGAGACGAAGCUUCCAGAGGAAGGAUCAGGAAGCAACAUUUGCUAUUCUGCAAUAUUUGCUGUUCUGCAGCCUCCACUGGUGAUACCCAGGCAAAUAAGGUCUGGAGUGGACCUCCAGCAAACUCCAACAGACCUGCAGCUGAGGGUUCUGACUGUUAGGAGGAAAACUAACAAACAGAAAGGAAUAGUAUCAACACCAACAAAAAGGACAUCCACACCAAACCCCAUCUGUAGGUUACCAUCAUCAAAGACCAAAGGUAGAUAAAACCACAAAGAUGGGGAGAAACCAGAGCAGAAAAGCUGAAAAUUCUAAAAUCAGAGCAUUUCUUCUCCUCCAAAGAAUCACAGCUCCUCGCCAUCAACGGAACAAAGCUGGACAGAGAAUAACUUUGACGAGGUGACAGAAGUAGGCUUCAGAAGAUCGGUAAUAACAAACUUCUCCGAGCUAAAGGAGGAUGUUCAAACUCAUCGCAAAGAAGCUAAAAACCUUGAAAAAAGAUUAGACGAAUGGCUAACUGGAAUAAACAGCAUAGAGAAGACCUUAAAUGACCUGAUGGAGCUGAAAACCAUGGCACAAGUACUACGUGAUGCAUGCACAAGCUUCAGUAGCCGAUUUGAUCAAGUGGAAGAAAGCGUAUCAGUGAUUGAAGAUCAAAAGAAUGAAAUGAAGUGAGAAGUUAGAGGAAAAAAGAGUAAAAAGAAAUGAACAAAGCCUCCAAGAAAUAUGGGACUAUGUGAAAGGGCCAAAUCUACAUUUGAUUGGUGUACCUGAAAGUGACAGGGAGAAUGGAACCAAGUUGGAAAACACUCUUCAGGAUAUUAUCCAGGAGAACUUCCCCAACCUAGCAAGGCAGGUCAACAUUCAAAUUUAGGAAAUGCAGAGAAUGCCACAAAGAUACUCCUCAAGAAGAGCAACCCCAAGACACAUAAUCGUCAGAUUCACCAAGGUUGAAAUGAAGGAAAAAAAGGUUAAGGGCAGCCAGAGAGAGGUCAGGUUACCCACAAAAGGAAGCCCAUCAGACUAACGGUGGCUCUCUCAGCAGAAACUCUACAAGCCAGAAGAGAGUGGGGGCCAAUAUUCAACAUUCUUAAAGAAUUUUCAACCCAGAAUUUCAUAUCCAGCCAAACUAAGCUUCAUAAGUGAAGGAAACAUAAAAUCCUUUACAGACAAGCAAGUGCUGAGAGAUUUUGUCACCACCAGGCCUGCCUUACAAGAGCUCCUGAAGGAAGCACUAAAGGAACAACCGGUACCAGCCACUGCAAAACAUGCCAAAUUGUAAAGACCAUUGGUGCUAGGAAGAAACUGCAUCAACUAACAAGCAAAAUAACCAGCUAACAUCAUAAUGACAAGAUCAAGUUCACACGUAACAAUACUAACCUUAAAUGUAAAUGGGCUAAAUGCCCCAAUUAAAAGACACAGACUGGCAAAUUGGAUAAAGAGUCAAGACCCAUCAGUGUGCUGUAUUCAGGAGACCCAUCUCACCUGCAGAGACACACAUAGGCUCAAAAUAAAGAGAUGGAGGAAGAUCUACCAAGCAAAUGGAAAACAAAAAAAGCAGGGGUUGCAAACCCACUCUCUGAUAAAACAGAUUUUAAACCAACAAAGAUCAAAAGAGACAAAAGAGACAAAGAAGGCCAUUACAUAAUGGUAAAGGGAUCAAUUCAACAAGAAGAGCUAACUAUCUUAAAUAUAUAUGCACCCAAUACAGGAGCACCCAGAUUCAUAAAGCAAGCCCUUAGAGACCUACAAAGAGACUUAGACUCCCACACAAUAAUAAUGGGAGACUUUAACACUCCACUCUCAACAUUAGACAGAUCAACAAGACAGAAAGUUAACAAGGAUAUCCAGGACUUGAACUCAGCUCUGCACCAAGUGGACCUAAUAGACAUCUACAGAACUCUCCACCCCAAAUCAACAGAAUAUAUACAUUCUUCUCAGCACCACACUGCACUUAUUCCAAAAUUGACCACAUAGUUGGAAGUAAAGCACUCCUCAGCAAACGUAAAAGUACAGAAAUUAUAACAAACUGUCUCUCAGACCAUAGUGCAAUCAAAUUAGAACUCAGGAUUAAGAAACUCACUCAAAACCGCAAAACUACAUGGAAAUUGAAUAACCUGCUCCUGAAUGACUACUGGGUACAUAACUAAAUGAAGGCAGAAAUAAAGAUGUUCUUUGAAACCAAUGAGAACAAAGACACAACAUACCAGAAUCUCUGGGACACAUUUAAAGCAGUGUGUAGAGGGAAAUUUAUAGCACUAAAUGCCCACAAGAGAAAGCAGGAAAGAACUAAAACUGACACGCUAACAUCACAAUUAAAAGAACUAGAGAAGCAAGAGCAAACAUAUUCAAAAGCUAGCAGAAGGCAAGAAAUAACUAAGAUCAGAGCAGAACUAAAGGAGACAGAGACACAAAAAACCCUUCAAAACAUCAAUGGUAUCCAGGAGCUGGUUUUUGGAAAAGAUCAACAAAAUUGAUAGACCACUAGCAAGACUAAUAAAGAAGAAAAGAGAGAAGAAUCAAAUAGACGCAAUAAAAAAUGAUAAAGGGGAUAUCACCACCGAUCCCACGGAAAUACAAACUACCAUCAGAGAAUACUAUAAACACCUCUAUGUAAAUAAACUAGAAAACCUAAAAGAAAUGGAUAAAUUCCUGGACACAUCCACCCUCCCAAGACUAAACCAGGAAGAAGUUGAAUCCCUGAAUAGACCAAUAACAGGCUCUGAAAUUGAGGCAAUAAUUAAUAGCCUACCAACCAAAAAAAGUCCAGGACCAGAUGGAUUCACAGCCAAAUUCUGUCAGCGGUAGGAAGAGGAGCUGGUACCAUUCCUUCUGAAAUUAUUCCAAUCAGUAGAAAAAGAUGGAAUCCUCCCUAACUCAUUUUAUGAGGCCAGCAUCAUCCUGACACCAAAGCCUGGCAGAGACACAACAAAAAAAGAGAAUUUUAGGCCAAUAUCACUGAUGAACAUCGAUGCAAAAAUCCUCAAUAAAAUACUGGCAAACUGAAUCCAGCAGCACAUCAAAAAGCUUAUCCACCAUGAUCAAGUUGGCUUCAUCCCUAGGGUGCAAGGCUCAUUCAACAUACACAAAUCAAUAAACCUAAUCCAUCAUAUAAACAGAACCAAAGACAAAAACCACAUGAUUAUCUCAAUAGAUGCAGAAAAGACCUUCAACAAAAUUCAACAACGCCUCAUGCUAAAAACUCUCAAUAAACUAGGUAUUGAUGGGACUUAUCUCAAAAUAAUAAGAGCUAUCUAUGACAAACCCACAGCCAAUAUCAUACUGAAUGGGCAAAAACUGGAAGCAUUCCCUUUGAAAACUGGCACAAGACAGGGAUGCCCUCUCUCACCACUCCUAUUCAACAUAGUGUUGGAAGUUCUGGCCAGGGCAAUCAGGCAGGAGAAAGAAAUAAAGGGUAUCCAUUUAGGAAAAGAGGAAGUCAAAUCCUCCCUGUUUGCAGAUAACAUGAUUGUAUAUCUAGAAAAUCCCAUCGUCUCAGCCCAAAAUCUCCUUAAGCUGAUAAGCAACUUCAGCAAAGUCUCAGGAUACAAAAUCAAUGUGCAAAAAUCACAAGCAUUCCUAUACAACAAUAACAAACAGAGAGCCAAAUACUGAGUGAACUCCCAUUCACAAUUGCUUCAAAGAGAAUAAAAUACCUAGGAAUCCAACUUACAAGGGAUGUGAAGGACCUCUUCAAGGAGAACUACAAACCACUGCUCAAUGAAAUAAAAGAGGACACAAACAAAUGGAAGAACAUUCCAUGCUCAUCGAUAGGAAGAAUCAGUAUUGUGAAAAUGGGCAUACUGCCCAAGGUAAUUUAUAGAUUUUUUUUUUUUAUUUUUUGAGACGGAGUCUCGCUCUGUUGCCCAGGCUAGAGUGCAGUGGCUUGAUCUUGGCUCACUGCAAGCUCCGCCUCCCGGGUUCAUGCCAUUCUCCUGCCUCAGCCUCCCAAGUGGCUAGGACUACAGGCACCCACCACAAUGCCCGGCUAAUUUUUUGUAUUUUUUUAGUAGAGACAGGGUUUCACCAUGUUAACCAGGAUGGUCUGGAUCUCCUGACCUCGUGAUCCGCCCACCUCAGCCUCCCAAAGUGCUGGGAUUACAGGCAUGAGCCACCGCGCCCGGCCGGUAAUUUAUAGAUUUAAUGCCAUCCCCAUCAAGCUACCAAUGACUGUCUUCACAGAAUUGGAAAAAGCUACUUUAAAGUUCACAUGGAACCAAAAAAGAGCCCACAUUGCCAAGACUGUGGGGGAAAUAAAGAGAGAUCAGGCUGUUACUGUGUCUAUGCAGAAAGAAGAAGACAUAAGAAACUCCAUUUUGUUCUGUAGUAAGAAAAAUUCUUCUGCCUUGAGAUGCUAUUAAUCUGUAACGCUAGCCCCAACCCUGUGGUCACAGAAAUAUUUGCUGUGUUGACUCAAGGUUUAAUGGAUAUAGGGCUGUGCAGGAUGUGCUUUGUUAAAAAUGUGUUUGCACGCAGUAUGCUUGGUAAAAGUCAUCACCCUUCUCUGGUCUCAAGUACCCAGGGACACAAUGCACUGUCGAAGGCCACAGGGACCUCUGCCCAAGAACGCCUGGGUAUUGUCCAAGGUUUCUCCCCACUGAGACAGCCUGAGACAUGGCCUCGUGGGAAGGGAAAGACCUUACCGUCCCCCAGCCCGAUACCCAUAAAGGGUCUGUGCUGAGGAGGAUUAGUGAAAGAGGAAGGCCUCUUUGCAGUUGAGAUAAGAGGAAGGCAUCUGUCUCCUGCUCGUCCCCGGGAAUGGAAUGUCUUGGUGUAAAACCCGAACGUACAUUCUAUUUACUGAGAUGGGAGAAAACUGCCUUAUGGCUGGAGGUGAGACAUGCUGGCGACAAUACUGCUCUUUACUGCACUGAGAUGUUUGUGUAAAGUCAAACAUAAAUCUGGCCUACAAGCACAUCGAGGCACAGCACCUUUCCUUAAACUUAUUUAUGACACAGAGUCCUUUGUUCACAUGUUUUCCUGCUGACCCUCUCCCCACCCUGCCACAUCCCCCUCACCAAGAUAGUAGAGAUAGUGAUCAAUAAAUACUGAGGGAACUCAGAGACCAGAGCCGGUGCGGGUCCUCCAUAUGCUGAGCGCUGGUCCUCUGGGCCCACUGUUCUUUCUCUAUACUUUGUCUCUGUGUCUUAUUUCUUUUCUCAGUCUCUCAUCACACCUGAUGAGAAAUACCCACAGGUGUGGAGGGGCUGGCCCCCUUCAAAGACAAUCCUAAGCAAAAAGAACAAAACUGGAGGCAUCAUGCUACCUGACUUCAAAGGAUACUACAAGGCUACAGUAACCAAAACAGCAUGGUACUGGUACCAAAACAGAGAGAUAAACCAAUGGAAGAGAACAGAGCCCUCAGAAAUAAUACCAUACAUCUACAACCAUCUGAUCUUUGACAAACCUGACAAAAACAAGAAAUGGGGAAAGGAUUCCCUAUUUAAUAAAUAGUGCUGGGAAAACUGGCUAGCCAUAUGUAGAAAGCUAAAACUGGAUCCUUUCCUUACACCUUAUACAAAAAUUAAUUCAAGAUGGAUUAAAGACUUAAAUAUUAGACCUAAAAACCAUAAAAACCCUAGAAGAAAACCUAGGCAAUACCAUUCAGGACACAAGCAUGGGCAAUGACUUCAUGACUAAAACACCAAAAGCAAUGGCAACAAAAGCCAAAAUUGACAAAUGGGAUCUAAUUAAACUAAAGAGCUUCUGCACAGCAAAAGAAACCACCAUCAGAGUGAAGAGGCAACCUACAGAAUGGGAGAAAAUUUUUGCAAUCUACCCAUCUGACAAAGGGCUAAUAUCCAGAAUCUACAAAGAACUUAAACAAGUUUACAAGAAAAAAUCAAACAACCCCAUCACAAAGUGGGCAAAGGAUAUGAACAGACACUUCUCAAAAGAAGACAUUUAUGCAGCCAACAGACACAUGAAGAAAUGCUCAUCAUCACUGGUCAUCAGAGAAAUGCAAAUCAAAACCACAAUGAGAUACCAUCUCACACCAGUUAGAAUGACGAUCAUUAAAAAGUCAUGAAACAACAGAUGCUGGAGAGGAUGUGGAGAAACAGGAACACUCUUACACUGUUGAUGGGAGUGUGAAUUGGUUCAACCAUUGCGGAAGACAGUGUGGUGAUUCCUCAAGGAUCUGGAACUAGAAAUACCAUUUGAUCCAGCCAUCCCAUUACGGGGUAUAUACCCAAAGGAUUAUAAAUCAUGUUACUAUAAAGACACAUGCACAUGUAUGUUUACUGCAGCACUAUUUACAAUAGCAAAGACUUGUAACCAACCCAAAUGUCCAUCAAUGAUAGACUGGAUUAAGGAAAUGUGGCACAUAUACACCAUGGAAUACUAUGCAGCCAUAAAAAAGGAUGAGUUCAUGUCCUUUGCAGGGACAUGGAUGAAACUGGAAACCAUCAUUCUGAGCAAACUACCACAAGGACAGAAAACCAAACACUACACGCUCUCACUCAUAGGUGGGAAUUGAACAAUGAGAACACUUGGACACAGGGUAGGGAAUAUCACACACCCAGGCCUGUCAUGGGGUGGGGGGAGGGAGGAGGGAUAACAUUGGGAGGAAUAUCUAAUGUAAAUGAUGAGUUAAUGGGUGCAGCACACCAACUUGGCACAUGUAUAUGUAUGUAACAAACCUGCACAUUGUGCACAUGUACACUCGAACUUAAAAGUAUAAUAAAAAAAUUUUAAAAAGAAAGUAGCAUUUUAGAAAACAACUUCUCAAUAAAUAGCCUAUAAACAAAAAAAAAAGUAAAAAGAAAAAUAAGUGCAUCCUAUAGACAACACAACACAAUGGGCCAUGACCCAGCCAGGACAUGCCAACCUGUGAAGCUGGACAGAUAGAUGCCUAGAGCAGAGCCCAGGCUGCCCACAAGAAAUUGCUGAAAACUAAGGCUUAGGACAGACUGGAACCCAGAAAAGAAAGGAACCCCGGUCUUGGUCAUGGUUCAUGGCACCACUCCUUUAUAACAAUGCCCUAGAAGAAGCCCAUGCACCUCAGUGGGAGCACUCAUGCUGUUCUUGGGGAACCUUCAUAGGACUGUGCCCUGCCUUGAGCUGGAAGUCUCUGCAGUAGACAUCCUUCCAUAUUUUGUUCUUCAUCUUCUGAACGCCUUCAAGGUUUUUCAAUUGGAAAAAUUCUAUCUGCAUAAUCAACAAUGUGCUAAGGAACUCUACUUUUAGAUCUUCUUAGAAUUCAUAGUUCUUUGUACAUGAGGAUUAAAGCAUUCUUCUGUAUUCUCCACUUGUGAAAUAGAUUUGAGGUUGGUGGAGUCAGGAUUGGAAACACAUACAGGUGGGCAGGGGCAUGAAAGGGACUGGGACCCAGAUCAGAGCUGGAGGCUGAACUCCAGGGAGCCUUUGAAUAGCUAUGGAUAUCACCAGGGUGGGAAGGGACAGUGCUCCACUGUCCUGGGAUUCUCUUGAAACUGAGCUUGGCCUCCCUGCUGAGAGCAGAGAACAACCAUCAAUAAAUAUUCCUUCAAUGGUCUGAAGUUUACGUUUACAGGGUGGAGGUGGAAAUUAAAUUUAGGGAGCCAUGAGGAAGACCCCCAGCCCUGUGCCUUUUGAAUUGACAACCAUGGCAUUUCAGGGCAUCAGCUCCAGGUCAGGCAUUCUCAGGCAGUUGCAUAAUUCUGCCAAUGUGGGGCCCGCCCACCUCAAAAAUCCACAUGGAUUGGAUCCAGCAAAACCAAAUAUUCAGCAAAACUUCAAGAUCUAGCAACACUGAAGGCUCAAGUACAUCACCGGUGCAUACUUGGCCCAAGGAGGCUAUUCUCUCACAAUCUCUACCCAGCUCCGGGCCUGCAGCAUCUGAGACUCACUCCUUCAAGCUGCAGGUAUCCCAGGAAAAAGAUUUAUGCAUCCUCAUAGCUUCAACAUGCAGUGUGUCAGGCACAGAAAAAUGGUUGUCUUCAGAAAGUGAUAAAAAAAACAUGCAGUAGCAAUCACCCUUUGGACUUUGAAACUUUUCUGUCACCUUAGAUGUCAGAAACUAAAACCCAGAAACUUGGUGUUGGCAUUAAUUUGGUCUAGCUAUGAAGACUUUUUUUUUUUUUUUUUCACACAGUGACAGUUCUGAAUUUGAAUAUAAAGGAGCUUAGGUGCUAUAAUCUGAAUGGAACGUGGGAAUAAAACUGUCUUUGCCUUGUACUUCUUGUUAGAUUAAUUAAAUACCAAUUAUCAGUAUAAGAAAAUGGCAAUAAAUUGUCAAAGUGGAAUUGGAAAGUGUUUUUAGGAUUUGGAUAUGAAGCAGGCUUCCCAUGUGACCAUUCUCACUUCUUAUUCUGAAGUCUAACACUCUGCUUUUCUUUCUCUCCCUCUCUUCAUUGAUUCUUCUAGUGGCUGGUGUUUGGGUAUUGUGGGAACUGAGCUUUCAUCUCCUAUGUUAGCCAUAGAGAUGAGGGCUUUGAGGGCACCAUGGAAUCCGAUUGCUGGAAAUAAAUCAAUCUUAAAGGAAAGGAAAAUUUAAAAAUCAGGUGCAACAAAAGCAAAAUGAGAAAACUGCUAAACUCUACAAUUCUAUAAAGAAGAAUUGCAUAAAAAGGAAAUAACAGGAAAAGGUAAGAAAAUUUAAAAGGAUAUCAGAAAAUAUAGCAUACAGGGUCAGAAAGAUUUGAGAAUAUGACGAGAUGGUUUUAGAAGGCAGGAUGGGGCCGGGCACGGUGGCUCAUGCCUAUAAUCCCAGCACUUUGGGAGGCUGAGGCAGACGGAUCACGAGGUCAGGAGAUCGAGACCAUCCUGGCUAACACGGUGAAACCCUGUCUCUACUAAAAAUACAAAAAAAAAAAAAAAAAAAAAAAUUAGCCGGGCGUGUUGGCGGGCACCUGUAGUCCCAGCUACUCGGGAGGCUGAGGCAGGAGAUUGGCGUGAACACGGGAGGCGGAGCUUGCAGUGAGCGGAGAUCGCGCCACUGCACUCCAGCCUGGGAAACAGCGAGACUCUGGCUCAAAAAAAAAAAAAAAAAAAAAAAAAAAGGCAGGAUGGGCUGGGCGCGGUGGUUCACGCCUGUAAUCCCAGCACUUUGGGAGGCCGAGGCGGGCCGAUCGCCUCAGGUCAGGAGUUCGAGACCAGCCUGACCAACAUGGAGAAACCCCGUCUCUACUAAAAAUACAAAAUUAGCCGGGCAUGGUGGCC
rnacentral:lncRNA from 1 species